rnacentral:rRNA from 1 species
GCAUAUCAAUAAGCGGAGGAAAAGAAACCAACAGGGAUUGCCCUAGUAACGGCGAGUGAAGCGGCAACAGCUCAAAUUUGAAAUCUGGCCCUCGGGUCCGAGUUGUAAUUUGUAGAGGAUGCUUUUGGUGAGGUACCUUCCGAGUUCCCUGGAACGGGACGCCAUAGAGGGUGAGAGCCCCGUCUGGUUGGAUACCGAUCCUCUGUAAAGCUCCUUCGACGAGUCGAGUAGUUUGGGAAUGCUGCUCUAAAUGGGAGGUAUAUGUCUUCUAAAGCUAAAUAUUGGCCAGAGACCGAUAGCGCACAAGUAGAGUGAUCGAAAGAUGAAAAGCACUUUGAAAAGAGAGUUAAAAAGUACGUGAAAUUGUUGAAAGGGAAGCGCUUAUGACCAGACUUGGACUUGGUUGAUCAUCCUGGGUUCUCCCUGGUGCACUCUUCCAGUUCAGGCCAGCAUCAGUUCGCUGCGGGGGAUAAAAGUUUUGGGAAUGUGGCUCCCUCGGGAGUGUUAUAGCCCAUUGCAUAAUACCCUGCUCCGGACUGAGGUUCGCGCAUCUGCAAGGAUGCUGGCGUAAUGGUCAUCAGCGACCCGUCUUGAAACACGGACCAAGGAGUCGUCUUCGUAUGCGAGUGUUCGGGUGUUAAACCCCUACGCGUAAUGAAAGUGAACGCAGGUGAGAGCUUCGGCGCAUCAUCGACCGAUCCUGAUGUUCUCGGAUGGAUUUGAGUAAGAGCAUACGGGGCCGGANCCGAAAGAAGGUGAACUAUGCCUGUAUAGGGUGAAGCCAGAGGAAACUCUGGUGGAGGCUCGCAGCGGUUCUGACGUGCAAAUCGAUCGUCAAAUAUGGGCAUGGGGGCGAAAGACUAAUCGAACCUUCUAGUAGCUGGUUUCCGCGA